GCAAGUCGAGGGGUAACAUUAUAGCUUGCUAUAGAUGACGACCGGCGCACGGGUGCGUAACGCGUAUACAAUCUACCUUUUACUGGAGGAUAGCCCUAAGAAAUUGGGAUUAAUACUGCAUAAUAAGUUUAUAUCACCUGAUUUAAACUUCAAAGCUUCGGCGGUAAGAGAUGAGUAUGCGUCCUAUUAGUUAGUUGGUAAGGUAACGGCUUACCAAGACAUCGAUAGGUAGGGGGCCUGAGAGGGUUAUC
rnacentral:rRNA from 1 species